rnacentral:rRNA from 1 species
UGAGGAAUAUUGCACAAUGGGGGGAACCCUGAUGCAGCAACGCCGCGUGAAGGAUGAAGGUCUUUGGAUUGUAAACUUCUUUUAACGGGGAAGAGGAAGGACGGUACCCGUUGAAUAAGUCACGGCUAACUACGUGCCAGCAGCCGCGGUAACACGUAGGUGGCAAGCGUUAUCCGGAAUUACUGGGCGUAAAGGGCGCGCAGGCGGCCAUUUAAGUUUGACGUGAAAGCUCCUGGCUUAACUGGGAGAGGUCGUUGGAAACUGAAUGGCUUGAGGCAAUGAGAGGGGUGCGGAAUUCCCGGUGUAGUGGUGGAAUGCGUAGAUAUCGGGAGGAACACCAGUGGCGAAAGCGGCACCCUGGCAUUGGCCUGACGCUGAAGUGCGAAAGCGUGGGGAGCGAACGGGAUUAGAUACCCCGGUAGUCCACGCUGUAAACGAUGAAUACUAGGUGUGGGCGGUGUCAAAGCCGUCUGUGCCGAAGCAAACGCGAUAAGUAUUCCGCCUGGGGAGUACGGCCG